GACGAACGCUGGCGGCGUGCUUAACACAUGCAAGUCGAACGGAAAGGCCCUGCUUUUGUGGGGUGCUCGAGUGGCGAACGGGUGAGUAACACGUGAGUAACCUGCCCUUGACUUUGGGGUAACUUCAGGAAACUGGGGCUAAUACCGGCUAGGAGCUCCUGCUGCAUGGUGGGGGUUGGAAAGUUUCGGCGGUUGGGGAUGGACUCGCGGCUUAUCAGCUUGUUGGUGGGGUAGUGGCUUACCAAGGCUUUGACGGGUAGCCGGCCUGAGAGGGUGACCGGCCACAUUGGGACUGAGAUACGGCCCAGACUCCUACAGGAGGCAGCAGUGGGGAAUAUUGCACAAUGGGCGGAAGCCUGAUGCAGCAACGCCGCGUGCGGGAUGACGGCCUUCGGGUUGUAAACCGCUUUCGCCUGUGACGAAGCGUGAGUGACGGUAAUGGGUAAAGAAGCACCGGCUAACUACGUG
rnacentral:rRNA from 1 species